AUGAUGUUGUUUUUUAUUCAUCAAUUUGGUUUAUCUAGUAUUGAUGCAAGGAUUUCUUGCAGGUGUAAUGGCGUGAAGUUUGUCAUGGGGGAAGCCUAUGCUAGGAGAAGUUUAAUGAAGCAAAAGCAUAAAGAAAGAUUAGCGAUUGAAAGUUUGGCCAUGGGGAAGUUUAAGACAUUUUUGAAACUGUUAGAAAAAUGGGGAUGUUCUAAUGAUGAGCUUAGGUUUAGGAUAAAUAGAUUUUGA